UUGGCGCGGAAAAAAGUACAAAAAUAAUGACAAGCGACUGGUUAAAUUCAAAACUGAAGGAUUUACGUAGGGUUACCGAGUUUAAAUAAACACUCCUUCUUUCUUUUACACAAGCAAUGCACAAUAGUAGAUUGUAGAAAGAUAAAUUUGUAGAUUCCAAUUCAAAUUCAAUUUAUUGAGAAUAUUUCCACAAGGACUCAGAUAUUUAUGAAUGCAUAGAUUAAAUUAAACUAAAUGGUUUCUACUUCUUUUAUUAAUUUUUUAGAGAUCGAGUUUUUUAUUUUUUCAAAAAAUUAUUGUGAAUAAACAUAAAACCCUGAAGUGGCACUGAAUUUUUAUAACACAACAGAACUCUGCUGUCAAAUUUUUGUUUUGGUGAGCCGGAAAUGAACUGUAUUAUAACAUAACUAAUGUUUAACAGAUUUUAAAUGACGUAUUGGCGCAAUAUUCAAAACUCUUCUUACGAAACAUUGUUAUAUGCAUCGGCAGAUGCGACAUAAAAAUAAUUUCACCAAUAUCCACCGGAGGUCGCCGUAGAAAAAGAGGUAUUAAAUGAGUUGAUAAAUCUGAACUGCAAACGAUCGACCAUACGAUACUUGAAAUAAACAUGAUCAUUUAAAUCUAAUCAAAUCAGCGUUUCCUCGUAAAGUAAUUAUUGACGGAUUUCCACUCGCACCGGUUUGAGAGGACCAUUGAGCUAAUACCAUGAAGUAUAUUGUUUGAAUGUAUUUUCAGUCGCCGUGUUGGAACUCGUUUCUGCGUUUCCUACUAGGGCAAAGAUGCAGAUCUUUUAUUAUCUGAUGCAGAAUCGGAUUAUCGGCACUCCAUCAAAAUACCUUUAUAUUAUAAAGUACUACAAGUAUAAAUAAGCUACAAAUUAGAAUACAAAAGAGACAAAAUAUUAAUUUGCUUCCCACCAAUUGAAAAAUCAAAAUAAAUGUUGUCCAAAUAAUGCGCGUAAGGUAUGCCAUCUAGAGAUAACAAAAAAUUGGUCGAAAUCAGACCGUAUCUUUUCAAACCCUCACAUACCGAAUAUGUGGACCUUAGUGAACAUGGCUGACUUUUCACGGAAAAAAUUGCUUCAGAUUCUUUCGCAGUAAUUGGCUUUGGAAACAACUACGCCGUUAUUUCCCAAUCGAAUUGGUGAAAACUGUAGAUUUACCCGCUAACCGCCAUUAUGUGUUCGCGAAUUUUCCGCACGGUGUUAUUACUUAUGGCUGCACCAUUAACAUUACAUAUGACAUUGACAAUUGGCUAGCACUAUUUCCCGGUAUUCGACCGAGGCAGACGAUUUUAAAUGCCACAUUUUUGACGCCAUUCUUACAUGAAUAUUUACGCCUUUCCGGUUUUAUUUCGGUAUCGGAAAACUCACUGAUGCAUUAUUUGACCAGCCGCUGGCAGGGUGAUGGUUUUACGUCUAACGGUGUUUUCAUUAUUGUUGGCGGCGCACAGGAGGCUUUAGACUCUCGUCCUGGCCAAUAUGAAGUGACAUUUUUGAGACGUAAAGGAUUUGUUCGGGUGGCUAUAAAAAGUGGGUCUAGUACAAAGAAAUUCAUUAUUAUUCCAAUAGAUGGCUUAAGUAUUUUUUCGAAAUAGUAUAAGAUUUCGAAAUAAAAAAAACUUUUCCGAUAGUUUUGUGAUUGCUUGACUCAGUAUAUUGUCCAGGUACCGUGAUUUAGUCGAUUUCCUUCCGAUAAUUUUGAUCUCAACGAUGUAGAACGUUCUGGAAGGCUAAUUGUCAAAAAUAUUAUGGAAAUCGUCGUAUCGGGAUUUAUUGUAAGCACUGUUUUGAUUGCCCAAGAGAUAAACAUUGCACAAAACACCGUUUGGUACCAUUUAAAUACUGCUGGAUGUAAAAAGAAGCUCAAUGUAUGGGUGCCACAAGAGUUAACCUAAAAAAACCUCAUGGACCAAAUUUCUAUCUGCGAGUCGCUGAUGAAUCGCAAUAAAAUCGAUCAAGUCUAAGUGGGUUACUUAUGACAAGCGGAAACAUUCGUGGCCGAAUCAUGAUGAGCUGGCGCAAACGGUGUCCAUGCCAGGCCUAAGAGUUGGAAAGAUUUUGCUUUAUGUUUGGAGGUAUUGACAGGGAAUAAUCUACUAUGUGCUGCUCCUCUACAGUAAAAUUCUUAAUUUGGGCCUGUACUGUCAACAAUUGGUCUAUUCAGAUGAAGCAAUAGACCAAAAGUGGCCAGUUUUGGUUAAUACAAUAGAAAAGGAAUGUGUUCCCUCAGGACAACCCUAGGCCUCACACAUCGAUACUGAAUCAUCAGAAACUCUGGAAGCUUGGUUUGGAGGUUCUUCUGCAUUCGCCUUUCAGUCCGGUCCUGACACCAAGAGAUCAGGAAAUCUCUAAAUAGAACUUCAGACGAUCAAUCAUUAAUUCUGAAAAUCUGCUAGCUUCCAGACUCCUUUUCAUAAAACUUUACUCUGCUUUACUGCUGUCCAUUUUCGAAAUUGCCCUGUAGGAAUGAUUAGUUGUUAAUUUAUGCUGUGAGCAGAAGGUUUUCGAAAUGCUACCUGAUAAUGCGAAAAAGCUGGUAAAGUAAGUUGUAAUACCCGUUUGGUAAAGAGAAAAACCUCGGAUCAAUCCAAGUAAAAAUUGGUAGAGUUGGACUUGAUUAUAUAAAUACAGAAUAUAUAAAAUUUGUUUGCAGUUUGCUAUUAAUUAGUAUUUUUUUUAUGAUUUUCUGCUUACCGAGGACCUUUCGACGAUGUAUAAAAGUUAUGUAUGUAUAUAAGUAGAACUCCUUUCUAUCACCUUUAGCGCUGCUAUCGUUCCAUGUUUCACCUUCGGUGAGGUGGACAGCUUCGAGCGUUGGGAUGGUAAAUGGGCCUUGCAUUGGCAAUUGAUAAUAAAAUAUUUACUUGGCAUAUCGAUAUUACUAGUAAAGGGGCGUGGUGGCUUUCCGAUACCAUUCAAGCGUCGUAUUGUACAAGUGGUUGGCAAACCAAUCGAAGUGCAACAAAAUGAUAACCCCCAACCGGAAUAUGUGGAUGAAAUUCAUCAAAAAGUCAUUGAAAGUGUAAAAGAUUUAUUUGAGACGCACAAAAUUAAUUACAUUGAAAAUUAUGAAAAUGUUAAACUUGUAAUUAAGUAAUGUUCCUAAUUGUAAUCAUUACUUAACGCCGCAAUUGAGUAAUUUUAUGGCGUCUUUCAAUGUUCGCGUGCUUUUUGAGAAAAUAAAAAAAAUCUGUAGUUGUUUCUCGGGAUAUCUUCGAAUUCUAAAUGAACUUUCUAACUCAGACUUCAAAUAUUUCAACUUUAUCAUAAUUACAAAUAUUUUUUUGAUAUUUUUGGUAAA